AAAUAGAUUGAUCAGUGCUUUUUUGGUAAUGACUAGGCUUGUUCAUGUAAGAGAACAUCGACUGAGCCUUAAAAACCCCACAAAAAGCUUAAACGGAUAGUCUAGAAGCAUUUUAAAAAGUCACGUGAUAUUUGUUUCAUCUCUUCUAUUUAUUUCUUCCCUGAGUUCCCUCGCCUUUUCGCGCGCCCGCAAUCCUUGCUGUUACUUUCGUUGGAACGUCAUGUAAUAUUUUCGUUUUGUCAAUUUAUUCGCCAUAUUUGAACAAUCGUUCGAAUCAAAAUGUUUCUGAGCGAUUUUCUGAGCGUAUACACAGAGUAGAUAAGACAUACAGAGACGUAACUGACCGUUGUAAACACUGCGGAAGAUUACGUUAUCAUGUACCCACUUUUUUUCAUGCGACCGGGCGAAAAAUGAUCAACUGCGCGUGCUCAGCAAGUUUAAAGUAAGUCGUCAUCAGGUCGUCAUCCAAUCAGAUGCAUGCAUCUAGUAACUUGCCGAGCAUGCGCACAAAAAAAGUGGGUACACUAGUUACGUCUCUGUAUGUCUCUACUCUGUGGCGUAUAUAAGCGCCCUGUUAAAAGCUAUUCACUGCAAAUCAAGCUC